rnacentral:tRNA from 1 species
GGAGAGAUGGCCGAGUGGUCGAAGGCGGUUGAUUCGAAAUCAACUGUGGGGCAACUCACCGGGGGUUCGAAUCCCUCUCUCUCCG